AGGAGCCGUGUGAGGUGAAAGUCUCACGCACGGUUUUGAAGACGAGUUGGGUAGGGUAAUUUACCUGGCUUAGUUUAAC
rnacentral:ncRNA from 1 species